UGCCAGCCGCCGCGGUAAUACCGGCAGCUCAAGUGGUCGUCGCUUUUAUUGGGCCUAAAACGUCCGUAGCCUGUUUGGUAAAUCUGUGGGUAAAUCAACCAGCUUAACUGGUUGAAUUCUGCAGAGACUGCCAGACCAGGGACCGGGAGAGGUGUGGGGUACUCUAGGGGUAGGGGUAAAAUCCUGUCAUCCUUAGAGGACACCAGUUGCGAAGGCGCCACACUGGAACGGAUCCGACGGUCAGGGACGAAGCCUAGGGGCACGAACCGGAUUAGAUA
rnacentral:rRNA from 1 species